ensembl:snRNA U6 U6 spliceosomal RNA
GUGCUCACUUCGGCAGCACAAAUACUAAAAUUGGAACAAUACAGAGAUUAGCAUGGCCCCUGCGCAAGGAUGACAUGCAAAUUCGUGAAGUGUUCCAUAUUUUA